rnacentral:rRNA from 1 species
AGCAGCCGCGGUAAAUUCCAGCUCCAAUAGCGUAUAUUAAAGUUGUUGCAGUUAAAAAGCUCGUAGUUGAAUUUCGAGAUCAAUUUGUCGGUCGUGCCUCGGUACGUACUGGCAUUAUUGAUUUCUCCCUUCUGAAGAACUGCGAUGUCAUUAAUUUGGUGUCGUGGGGAAUCAGGACUGUUACUUUAGAAAAAAUUAGAGUGUUUAAAGCAAGCGCACGCUUGAAUACAUUAGCAUGGAAUAAUGAAAUAGGACGUUUGAUUCUAUUUUGUUGGUUUCUAGGAUCGACGUAAUGAUUAAUAGGGAUAGUUGGGGGCAUUAGUAUUCAAUUGUCAGAGGUGAAAUUCUUGGAUUUAUUGAAGACUAACUACUGCGAAAGCAUUUGCCAAGGAUGUUUU